UACGAAGGUGGCAAGCGUUGUUCGGAUUUACUGGGCGUACAGGGUGCGUAGGCGGUUCGGUAAGCCCUCCGUGAAAUCUCCGGGCCUAACCCGGAAAGUGCGGAGGGGACUGCUCGGCUAGAGGAUGGGAGAGGAGCGCGGAAUUCCCGGUGUAGCGGUGAAAUGCGUAGAGAUCGGGAGGAAGGCCGGUGGCGAAGGCGGCGCUCUGGAACAUUUCUGACGCUGAGGCUCGAAAGCGUGGGGAGCAAACAGG
rnacentral:rRNA from 1 species